CGUUAAACCGCAUGUUUCCUAGAAUUAUAAAGUAAACAUUUAACAAGUGUAUGUAAGGCUUAUUGAAUAACGUAUUGUUCAACAGAUAUGCAGCAAACUUGGCAGACGCAAAAUUGCUAAAUUACAUUUUCUUCGUGUUUAGAUACUUGUUCGAUAAGUCGGCAGCCAUGGCGUUAAAUGUGUGCAUUUUGUUAGUAAGUAUUGUUCUUCUGACAGUCUGUGGACUUCCGAUAGCACUUGCCCGCGGUGGUUCACAUUGCUGGGCGGUACCUUUCUAUAUCUAUGGACCCGAAUGCAGAUCUGACACAUCUAUAUUUGGAAGACCCGGUCACAAAAUUCGGUAUUCAGUCAGCGUAAGCGGGAGCACACAAAUAUGUUGCAAAGGAUUCCAUUGUAAAGGUAUAAACUGCAAGCUGUACAAUGUCGGAUGUGGCCACGGCAGUUGGAGUACCCGCAGUUUGACCUGGGGCAAUAAUUAUGCUACACCAAUAAUGAAAUGUAGAGGCAAUCCUUUGGGAUCUGGAUACUCAUUUACGCACUAACAGCUGCAUUAUACAAACAUACAAUAACUAUUUCAAUACUUGUAAAUGAUAAACUUGACUAAUUACUGCUAUGGAUGCGUUUGAAGAAUCAUUUCUUAUUAAUUCGUUGUGUAUUUGUCUUACAAAACAGUCCAAGUUACUUCAUCACGGACAGGAAUCCGAACCUGAUUAAAACCACCGACCACCUUAUUUAAGCAAGCCGAAUGACGUCCUCUCAUGAAAGAAUUCUACAAACCAAGCGAGGUUUCGAACCCACAAGGAGUGGGACAAGUGAUUCAGAGUCAGUGGUUUUAACCACUUUGACACAGAUGCCCCUGCUUACUGAGACAUAUCAAAGAAAUCCAGAUUUUCAUUUGAUUUAACUUCAUUUAAAAACAUAUUCUACAUCAAUGGGAGACAAUUUUAAAAGCUAAAUAUACAAAUCAAAGUUUACUAGUUCAACAAUAAGAUGCCUUGUGGUAUUUAACAACAGUUUCUGAAAAAGUAACACUUACUGUUAUUUGGAUAUGGAGUGUCACAAUAACGGUUACCAUUUAAAAUGUACAGGACCACCGCAACAAACAUCACUUCUAGAAUACGAUCAAGAGUUUUGAAUAAUGUACCAACUUGUUCAUUGCUCAGAAAAAACGACUAAAUAUAUAAAGAAAAUCAUAGAAACUCAACACGUGCACAUUCUCCGAUUGAGAAUAUAAUAAUUUACCUAUUUUAUUGAAAAAUAAAUAAAAUUUUAUUUCCAUAAACAAAAUCGGUAGCUCAUUGACAGCCUGAUCAUAACGCUUUAUAUAACAUGCUUAGAUAUUGAAUAUCUGAUACCCGUUUCACGUACUUUAUAUGGCUAGUCAAUAGAUCAGCCAUUUAUUUUUCCUGGUAGUCUAUCUAUUAAGUAUUUUUUUGAUUUACUGUUCACCUUCAAUGGCUAGUUUUGAAGCAUUAUACUACUCUUCGGUAUAUUUAAGAAUUUGUUUCAGUGUCUGUUGCACUGUGUCAGUUCUGAUUUGGACUAUUUCAACUGAUGGUAUGUCAUCAAUAAUAAUCAAUAUUUACAUUUAGAAAAUCGAGAUUAAAUGCGUAAAACAUAA